rnacentral:rRNA from 1 species
GUGGGGAAUAUUGGACAAUGGGCGAAAGCCUGAUCCAGCCAUGCCGCGUGUGUGAAGAAGGUCUUCGGAUUGUAAAGCACUUUAAGUUGGGAGGAAGGGCAGUAAGUUAAUACCUUGCUGUUUUGACGUUACCGACAGAAUAAGCACCGGCUAACUUCGUGCCAGCAGCCGCGGUAAUACGAAGGGUGCAAGCGUUAAUCGGAAUUACUGGGCGUAAAGCGCGCGUAGGUGGUUUUGUAAGUUGGAGGUGAAAUCCCCGGGCUCAACCUGGGAACUGCCUCCAAAACUGCAUGACUAGAGUACGGUAGAGGGUAGUGGAAUUUCCUGUGUAGCGGUGAAAUGCGUAGAUAUAGGAAGGAACACCAGUGGCGAAGGCGACUACCUGGACUGAUACUGACACUGAGGUGCGAAAGCGUGGUGAGCAAACAGGAUUAGAAACCCCGGGUAGUCC